AAUAAGUGUAGUUUUGCACUAUUCAUGUCUAACGUUUGAUCGUUCGUCUUAUUUAAAUUUUUUUUAUGAUUACUAUUUUUAUUGUUAUUAGAUGAUAAAACAUGAAUAAUAUUUCAGGUGUGACUAUUUUUUUUUAUUUUUUUUCAUAAAAUUUUCAAAUAAGACGGAUUGUCAAACGUUGGACACGGAUUUUUACGGCUACACUUAUU
rfam:Oryza barthii chromosome 1, whole genome shotgun sequence.